rnacentral:rRNA from 1 species
GAUGAACGCUGGCGGCGUGCCUAAUACAUGCAAGUCGAGCGAACGGACGAGAAGCUUGCUUCUCUGAUGUUAGCGGCGGACGGGUGAGUAACACGUGGAUAACCUACCUAUAAGACUUGGAUAACUUCGGGAAACCGUAGCUAAUACCGGAUAAUAUUUUGAACCGCAUGGUUCAAAAGUGAAAGACGGUCUUGCUGUCACUUAUAGAUGGAUCCGCGCUGCAUUAGCUAGUUGGUAAGGUAACGGCUUACCAAGGCAACGAUGCAUAGCCGACCUGAGAGGGUGGUCGGCCACACUGGAACUGAGACACGGUCCAGACUCCUACGGGAGGCAGCAGUAGGGAAUCUUCCGCAAUGGGCGCAAGCCUGACGGAGCAACGCCGCGUGAGUGAUGAAGGUCUUCGGAUCGUAAAGCUCUGUUAUUAGGGAAGAACAUAUGUGGAAGUAACUGUGCAGAUCUUGACGGUACCUAAUCAAAAAGCCACGGCUAACUACGUG